rnacentral:rRNA from 1 species
GACGAACGCUGGCGGCGCGCCUAACACAUGCAAGUCGAACGAGCGAGAGAGAGCUUGCUUUCUCGAGCGAGUGGCGAACGGGUGAGUAACGCGUGAGGAACCUGCCUCAAAGAGGGGGACAACAGUUGGAAACGACUGCUAAUACCGCAUAAGCCCACGACCCGGCAUCGGGUAGAGGGAAAAGGAGCAAUCCGCUUUGAGAUGGCCUCGCGUCCGAUUAGCUAGUUGGUGAGGUAACGGCCCACCAAGGCGACGAUCGGUAGCCGGACUGAGAGGUUGAACGGCCACAUUGGGACUGAGACACGGCCCAGACUCCUACGGGAGGCAGCAGUGGGGAAUAUUGCACAAUGGGGGAAACCCUGAUGCAGCGACGCCGCGUGGAGGAAGAAGGUCUUCGGAUUGUAAACUCCUGUUGUUGAGGAAGGUAAUGACGGUACUCAACAAGGAAGUGACGGCUAACUACGUG